rnacentral:rRNA from 1 species
GACGAACGCUGGCGGCGUGCCUAAUACAUGCAAGUCGAGCGGGGUUUUAAAAGCUUGCUUUUAAAACUUUAGCGGCGGACGGGUGAGUAACACGUGGGCAACCUGCCUGUAAGACUGGGAUAACACCGGGAAACCGGUGCUAAUACCGGAUAAUCCUUUUCACCUCGUGUUGGGAAGCUGAAAGACGGUUUCGGCUGUCCCUUACAGAUGGGCCCGCGGCGCAUUAGCUAGUUGGUGAGGUAACGUCUCACCAAGGCAACGAUGCGUAGCCGACCUGAGAGGGUGAUCGGCCACACUGGGACUGAGACACGGCCCAGACUCCUACGGGAGGCAGCAGUAGGGAAUCUUCCGCAAUGGACGAAAGUCUGACGGAGCAACGCCGCGUGAGCGAAGAAGGCCUUCGGGUCGUAAAGCUCUGUUGUCAGGGAAGAACAAGUACCGGAGUAACUGCCGGUACCUUGACGGUACCUGACCAGAAAGCCACGGCUAACUACGUGCCAGCCGCCGCGGUAAAAC